rnacentral:lncRNA from 1 species
GCUCUUCUGCCACGGGGGCAGUGCAUGUGGUUCACUCCGUAUGCUCCCUUGAUUCAGCGGGGAUGCGCUGCGCCGCCCUCUCCUCCACUUCCUCCCCUCCUUAGCGUCCCUCUCCACGACAUCCUCUUCCCCAACCUUGCCCUGUCCUUCUCCUCCCUCCAGAAGCCCAAUUCCCCUUUCUUGCUCAGGUGGCGAGUCUCGGGUCUGGCCGCCGACUAGCAUCAGAGGAGAGGCCUCGAUCGGCACAGGAUGUCGUGGGGAUAUGGUAGCAAGCCCGCCUUGAGGUCGCUGCGAGGGCGCCAUGGCGGUUGUUCUCGAGCUCGGCCGGCGUCAUCUCUACGGGAGGACUGGUUGGUGGAAGUCAUGCAUGAUGCAUCUGGUUAGCCUUUCAUCCCGUAAGGCCCUCCCUACUAUUCCAUCACUAAUUCCUGCGCUUGCCAAAAUCAUUAAUUGACCGCUCUCUGUUUCCAUCUAAUUCUGAAAACGAUUGCCUGAAGCAAAUCUACUAGAUGAACUCAAAUCCCAGCUUGAGCGUCGAAGCCGUUCCUGCCAGCCUAGGAGAUGAGGCAGACGACCGAGGCAUCCACCUCCGGCACUGGAGUUCUUAGCCUCUGGGCCAUCUCUGUCACCAGGGACUCGGUGACCCCCUGGUCUCCAGCAGAGCUGCUCUGGCCUGCAAACAUAAGUGUCGUGCUUGAUUUACGGCAAUCGAUGUUUAGCGAUACUGACCCUGAUAAUGACUUUUGAAUUUGAUACGAAAUUAACCACAAAAGGCAGUGACAUCGAUGUAGUAUCUAGAUUAAUUCCCAGCAGGCAAAACCAUUCAAGCUAUGUUAUGGAAUGAAUUUUGUCAGUCAAAUUAUGUUAAGAUGGAUCUUUGACACUAGCAUAGACACUAUCUUGCUAUGCUACUGACUACAUAUAAUAUAGCUAUGCUCGCAAGUGCAAAUAUAUAGUGCACAUAUGGACGCAGACCGGCCAAACAGUACUAUUAGGCUAUGCGUGCGUACCUUGAUCAGACCACACAAGCAGCUCACCCUCUUCGGGUCGCUGUUCUUCCCACCGAUG